ACCAGAUGCACCGCAGGGCGCAGCUUUAUACGACCGCAGAGUUCGAACCCUGAACAUUGGGGCAAGUAUGGACACAACAUUCAAGCUUGAUACAGCUCUGAAUUUGGAUUGUGAUUAAAUAGUUGACACAACACAGGUUUCUGACACAUAAUGAAUGUGGUCUAAGAACUUAAACUUAAAAACUUUAAAUUUUAAAUUGGACAUUACCU
rnacentral:lncRNA from 1 species